rnacentral:lncRNA from 1 species
AACUGAGGGGCUUGUCCACCUGUAACAGCUGGUAACUCACCAGCCCAAAAGGUGUAGGGUUCCUUAAGCCAGGGUCUCACUCAGAUCUUGUAUCUUCACAUCGCCUCUAAGUAGUAACUCUGGUAACUGCUGUUUGUUCAGAAAGUUGGAAAUACAAAACGAAGGAUUCAGCGGGGCUGCAUUCCUUCUGGAGACCUGAGGAGAAUCCUUUUGAUGAAUGCUAGCUAUAUGCAAAAUCUUGGAUUUGCGUAUGACUUCAAGAACAUCUACCAGCACUGUAUGAGAGAGAAAAAGCCAGCCUCCUCCAAUAACUUGGCUUAAACAAGCUAUUUAUUGUACUCAGCAUCUUUCAGCACUAGGAGAGCUAACCAGUAUAGAAGAAGUCUCUGGGAAAUUUGAUUUUUCCAUAUUCUAUAACUCAAGUAUGUGCUGUCUUCAGAGAUAAGGUCUCACUGGAAAGUUCUGAAGAGUUACUGAGAGAAGUGACAAUGGCUCAUAAUAUUUAGAGGUUUGGGAGGCCUCACUGCUCAGAAGCUCCAAAAGAAGUAACCCAUCCUGGACUGGGGGUUUUAUUUGUAAGGGUUUCCUGUAUUUUAGUGACUAAAAUCUAAGUUGCAUGGCAAAAGCUGAUGUCAUGGGCAGGAAUGACACUUGUUUCACAUGGAAAAGCACUAAAUAUAUUCAACAAUAAUAUAACCUGUCACUCUCUUAUUAUAACACUACCUUUUACAUUAUUCUCUUUGCUAUGUAAAAUAUUCUCUACUCAUAAAACUAAAAAAUGGGAGGGAACAAAUAUCUAAUAAACAUUUGAAGAGUGACAAAUG